UCGAGACCUUUACAGUGAUUACUUUUUAUUAUGCUGUUAGUGUGAUGCCUAUUAUCACUUUAAAAUAACAAACAACAAAGUUUUUAUCAGCAAAUUUUUCUAUAACUGUUUUUAUAGAUUCUGUUGUUAUUUUCAAAGUGACCAAGAAAGCUGGCUGCUGGAAAAUGUUUUUAGUCAUCUGCUAAAAACCUGCAUAGCAACCGGACACGCCCCUCCUCGAACGGUGAACAAAUCACGUCCGAAUCUCAGUGUGACGUCACGUUUGUUGACACUUCCAUUAGCUGGCCACUCGCGAAACGUCACAACAGCGGCGCGCGCCCGUGACCCUCAAAGACUGUCGCUGUGUGUUUUCUGCCUGGAAACAUCUCGAGCUAAUCGUUGCUGUGAAAGUGUGCAGGAGCCGCAUGGGAAAUGGGGUCUGAUCACAGUACCAGUUCUGCUUCUGACCAGAAACAGAGGGAUCAGGGCAACCUGUCAUCCCAAGGUGAGGCAUCUUCAUCCACUGUCCACUCUGAUACCGGUCCUGACCCCAAGGACCAUCUGGAUCCAGAAACCGAACUGCCUCAAUGCAAAAUAGGCACCAGAAGGGUAGAUGACAUGUGUUUCAUGAUUUCAUGCACAAACUGGUACUAGAGACUUCAUCAUGCACCAUGCAAGAGAAACUGGACAUUUACAACUUCUUAGAUAAAUGUGUGCCGAAUUCAACAUAUGGCAACAAAACAUAAGAAGAUGCUGUUGUAAAGCUGUUUAAAUUUGUUUGAUAAUAUUUAUUGUUUGUAAGUAAUUAUGAAUUCAACCAGCAAACAAAACAUGAAUAUGUAUUUUGCAAUUAUCAUUAUUUUUAGGUUUGUGCUUAAUGUAAAAUCUGUUCAGAUCAACAGCUUUGGACUUGCGUAAUGAUUGCAUAUUAAAGCACGUAUUGUUA